GUGGUUGUAGCUCAGUGGUAGAGCACUUGCCUAGCACAUGCGAGGCACUGAGUUUGAUCCUCAGCACCACA
rnacentral:tRNA from 1 species